UACGAAGGGGGCUAGCGUUGUUCGGAAUUACUGGGCGUAAAGCGCACGUAGGCGGAUAUUUAAGUCAGGGGUGAAAUCCCGCAGCUCAACUGCGGAACUGCCUUUGAUACUGGGUAUCUCGAGUAUGGAAGAGGUGAGUGGAAUUGCGAGUGUAGAGGUGAAAUUCGUAGAUAUUCGCAGGAACACCAGUGGCGAAGGCGGCUCACUGGUCCAUUACUGACGCUGAGGUGCGAAAGCGUGGGGGGCAAACAGG
rnacentral:rRNA from 1 species